AGAUUUAACGUCUCAAUAAGUCCCUACUUUUGUUCAGAAUAUUAAAUAGGACCCUUUCUUUUUUGACAUCUCAAUUGGGUCCUUAUUUUUGUAAAAUUGAAUCAAAUAUGGCCUUUUCAUCAAAUUGAUUAGACGACAUUAAGGAGGGCAUGUUGACUGUGUAGUUUUUUAUUACGUGGCAUUAAAAACGUGACUGAACUUUUUUUUUAUUUUUGAAUUAAAAAAUGGAGUUUAAAGUGAGGGCAAAGUUGGGAAAGCCCCAUUCUCCUAUGCAAUUACAAAAUCCAAAUGAAGUCACAUUCCUACUAUCUGUCUCCUUCUUCUUCGGACUCUUAGCAGCACUCCCGUUAGCCUUGGGCUUUUCCACUGACCCAUUGGCCACUCCACCUUCUUUCUCACUUCCCCAUCGUCAUCUUCUGCCUCUUAUUCGAAGGAUUCUUCUUCCUCUUAUUUUCCAUGCCUAGAGAAGAUGGGUUUUUGCGUUUCUUCUUCUUUUCCAUGCCACACUGGCCCACGUUUUUAAUGACACGUGUGUUAAAACAACAUUGUCAGCAUGCUAGGUCACCCAAUACUCAACGUCGUCUAAUGAAUUUAACAAAAAGAUCCUAUUUGAUUCAAUUUUACAAAAAUAAGGACCC
rnacentral:lncRNA from 1 species